rnacentral:rRNA from 1 species
GUCCACGCCCUAAACGAUGUCAACUGGUUGUUGGGUCUUUACUGACUCAGUAACGUAGCUAACGCGUGAAGUUGACCGCCUGGGGAGUACGGCCGCAAGGUUGAAACUCAAAGGAAUUGACGGGGACCCCGCACAAGCGGUGGAUGAUGUGGUUUAAUUCGAUGCAACGCGAAAAACCUUACCCACCUUUGACAUGUACGGAACCCUUUAGAGAUAGAGGGGUGCUCGAAAGAGAACCGUAACACAGGUGCUGCAUGGCUGUCGU